rnacentral:rRNA from 1 species
UGUGUAGGCGGUUGCUUAAGUUUGGUGUGAAAUCUCCCGGCUCAACCGGGAGGGUGCGCCGAAUACUGAGUGACUCGAGUGCGGGAGAGGAGAGUGGAAUUCCUGGUGUAGCGGUGAAAUGCGUAGAUAUCAGGAGGAACACCGGUGGUGUAGACGGCUCUCUGGACCGUAACUGACGCUGAGACACGAAAGCGUGGGUAGCAAACAGGAUUAGAUACCCUGGUAGUCCACGCCCUAAACGAUGCAUAUUUGGUGUGGGCCGUUCAGUCGGUCCGUGCCGGAGCUAACGCGUUAAAUAUGCCGCUGGGGAUACAGUCGCAAGGCUGAA